ensembl:lncRNA
UCCUUCUCUGUCUUGCCUGAUUUAGGACAAAAAUAAAAAUAAAAAAGAGCUAUGUUGGCAGAAUCAGCAGUGAGCACCAGUAAGAAAGAGCAAUGAGGUGAUGAGAGACAGACAGGUGAUGAGAGACAGACAGGGUGAUGAGAGAGAGACAGGGUGAUGAGAGAGAGAGAGAGACAGGGUGAUGAGAGAGAGAGACAGGGUGAUGAGAGAGAGACAGGGUGAUGAAAGAGAGACAGGGUGAGGAGAGAGAGAGAGAGACAGGGAGAGAGAGAGAGACAGGGUGAUGAGAGAGAGAGACAGGGUGAUGAGAGAGAGACAGGGUGAGGAGAGAGAGAGACAGGAGAGAGACAGGGUGAUGAGAGAGAGACAGGGUGAUGAGAGAGAGAGAGAGACAGGGUGAUGAGAGAGAGAGAGAGACAGGGUGAUGAGAGAGAAAGCUACUGAAGAAAGACUGAAUGCAGAAGGUGAAUACAAAAACGAAAGGCAGAACAUGGACAGAUGGAGAAUUAGAAAUGUAAAUAUUGCA